GAGUUUGCUGGCUCCGUCUCCAGUUCCUUUUGUCUCUUCCCACAUCCCCUCACUCAAGGUCUCUGGGAGCCUGGGCCUUCAGAGACAGCCCUCAGAUCACCUGAGUCGCCCAAGGAUGGAGACCUCCCCCCCAUUUUCCAGAACAAUAAGGUUAGAUGCAGAAAGGCCUGGCCAUUCCCAGCCACCACCCCCCGACUCCUCCCCAGGUGUGGGUGCUGAGAGGUGGAGCCACAGCCAGGCCUCUCCCCAUUGGGCGGGCUCCACAGGUAACCUGAAGCUGUGCUGCCAGGUGCAUAAAUAAAGUGUGGGGCUAUGGUACCACCUCCUUGAAAGGGGCCGAGUCCUUCCUCAGCCUCGCCUUGGAAAAACCAGCUUCUCUCCCUUUCAUUGUCUGUUCCCAGCUCCUGUGCUGCAAGCUCAUCUGAGCCCCCCACACUCCAAACUCUCUCUUUCCGGGUCCUUGAACUCCCCUCUCUGCCAAUCCACUUUCCUCUGCCUUCGUACUCUUCACCAUUAAGGGAGAGGGGCUGUCCGGGACCAGCCCCCACCGCCCCGCAGGACCCACUUCUGUUCUGCACGGGCCUGCUCAGCUGAACUCCCUCUACGGCAAGGGCUUCUUGUUUCUUACUCGCUGUCCUCCAAUCUUCGGAAGGCAAGAGCAGUCCAAGGCUUGGAAUUCCUUUCCUUCUCUCGCAUGCACGAGUCUCCAGCCACCUCUUUGUUCUGAAUUCUCUCAUGAAAGUUCUUUCGAAACAAGCUCAAAGAAGGCCCUGCCCUCUGACGGUACAGACCCUGAUACCUCCAGACACGGUCGUCGCUGGAGUGUCCGCCCUGGAGGUUAAGGACCCCAGAGGUGGGUGAGGCUCUCUGCACCUGCCCAUUGAGGAUUUGAAGAAUCUGGUGGACUGUACCCACUGGGAGGAUCUAUGGCCUCCCAUCAUCUCCUGGCAUCGCUUAUCAGCGCCAAACAGGUUGGGGAAGGAUGUGGGGCCACUAGAAAGUGGCCACCCGAGGUGGAUCCCUAGGAGCAACACCAAGGAGGCUUACCCUCCUCUGCCUACCCGGGGCCCAAAGAGCACGCCUGCCUCCGGCCAGGUGUUCUUCCCCCCAGUUCACGCCCGCACACGGGCCGGCCGCGCAAAGCGCUGCUCAGGCUCUUUGGAGGGUGCGGGCUGGAGAGGAACUGCUCCGCCCCGCCUUCCAGGGCCCUGGUUCGAAGGCGCGGGAGACGCAUUUUCCCAAAGCGGAAAUCUCAGAACACCUGCCUCCCCAGCACGGGGGGAGGACGCCCAGCAGCCCACCUGGGUAGAGGCAGAGACGUUUCCACGCGGAUGUGGGUGGGAUGGUCCCUCAAGGGUGAGAAACAGCAGAGGUCCCAGCCGGGCAGCGCCGGCCCACCCCGCGGCCCCGUCUGUGCCGCAGACACAGGGAGGUUCCGGCGAGCUGGCUCUGGGCAGCUCCGGAGGGAAGUGGUCUCCGCCAGAGGGUGUGAGGACUCGGAUCUUCCCCAUUCCCCGCGACCGUGACUCCGAUCGUGGAGGCUUUCGGCCAGGCAACCAACGACCUGGUGUACCGAGGCCAGGGUUGCCCCGUGGCCCAGACUCAGCACAAGACCUCGGAACAGUCCACGUGUUUCUCUUGUCCUUCAUUCCACCGGAGUCUGUCUCAUACCCAACCAGAUUUCAGUGGAGUGAAGCUCAGGAGGCGUGGAGCUGACACCGCAGCAGAAGCGGCGACAAGAAGAGCUCUGUGAUGCAUGCGGUCGCCCGCCGACUCCCGGGCCUUCGACGUCACCGCCCCUUUGGGUUACAAUGGAGACCUGAGCUCAACGACUGGCUCGGGUUCCCUCCCUACGUGGGUCCUCCAGGCAGGUGGCUGGAACUCUAUUCCCAAUCAGCAAGGAACCCUCUGCCCUGCCCCCCCCCCAGAGGACCCGCAGGACCUGCACAAGGGGGUUAAAAAACGACGAGGAUUUAAAAGAGCAUUUAUAUCGUAAUAAAAUAAAUGUAAAUAUGAUGGACGUGAAGGCA
rnacentral:lncRNA from 1 species